GAUGAAGAACGUAGCGAAAUGCGAUAAGUAAUGUGAAUUGCAGAAUUCAGUGAAUCAUCGAAUCUUUGAACGCACAUUGCGCCCCCUGGUAUUCCGGGGGGCAUGCCUGUCCGAGCGUCAUUACAACCCUCAAGCUCAGCUUGGUGUUGGGCCCCGCCGCCCCGGCGGGCCCUAAAGUCAGUGGCGGUGCCGUCCGGCUCCGAGCGUAGUAAUUCUUCUCGCUCUGGAGGUACGGUCGUGUGCUCGCCAGCAACCCCCAAUUUUUUUCAGGUUGACCUCGGAUCAGGUAGGGAUACCCGCUGAACUUAAGCAUAUCAAUAAGCGGAGGA
rnacentral:misc_RNA from 1 species